CCCUGCCCUUUGUACACACCGCCCGUCGCUACUACCGAUUGAAUGGCUUAGUGAGGCCUUGGGAUUCAUGCUACUCAGCAAUGUGUGGUAAGAAAAACUUGGUCAAACUUGGUCAUUUAGAGGAAGUAAAAGUC
rnacentral:rRNA from 1 species